rfam:Pseudomonas syringae pv. pisi str. 1704B contig622.1, whole genome shotgun sequence.
ACAAAAAUAAAAACACGCAGCAACCUAAUAAAAACAAUACGUACCGGCUCUGACAUAACAAGAACAACACGGACAGAGGCGUAGCUAACAGAUUUUUUUGAAGUGGAUAGCUUUUCUGAAUCGCUUGCUUCGCAAGUUGUUCGCAGCCAGACAGAGAACAACAAAACUGCCCUGAGGCAGCAGCCUAACUGGUUGGAUCACUACGAUGAAAGUGUCAUCAGCGCUCAAAAAAAUACGUUUGCUCUUGAUCCCGCAUGUGGAUCGCUCAAAAAAGAUGUGAAGGGUCAGGUCGCCAAAAACAACAACAGGCCUCCCGAACAACAAAAAAGAGCAUAGCAACAUACCUUGAAGGGGAGCCCAGGCUCCCCUUCGUGCUUUCCGGCGUUCCGCCCCUCCUCCCCAA